UGAUUCGGUGGAGAUAGGAUAUUAGAGGUUUCAACCAAUUUCGGUUUUGACGUUUACUGUUUACGCUUUGCUAUGUGUAGGUGAUCCUUAAGAUCGUACAAAUAUGUAAUACGAAAGAUAUCUUGAAGUGCUUUAUUUAAUAUAAUUGUCUUGUCUCAUUCAAUACCUAAUGUUUCAAUAUAGGUUGUGAUCUAGAAGUUAUUGACGAUUUUAAAAGCUUCUGGUAGAAAGAAAUUAAGGGUUACUAAAUCGUCCUAGAAACAACGCAUUUUUUAACUUCUAGUGUGACUAUUUGGAAAAUGUUGAAGACUCAUAAAUGGUUACGUAACAUCCUUGUGUUGUUGAUGUUACUUUUUAAAAGAGAAUAUUCUUGCCUAAUUAGUCCGUAGCCUUCAAAUCUCUUUGGUUAAAUUGUAACGCCCCAACAAACUCGAUUUUUUUUUUUUCAUUUGCUAUUAACAUAUACGUGUGGUCUUGGAAAAUUCAAAGUAUUGGGAGAACCUUAUCAUUUUGAAUUUUGCGAUUUAUUAAGGUUUGGGAUUUUUCCAUUUUGUUUAAAUAUUAAGUAUAUUUUUUAUUGUAUUUAUUUUAGUAUGUAGAUUUAUUUGGUGAAUUAAUGUUAAAUGAAAGGAGGGUUGGUUGAAUUUUUUGGUGAGAUUUGGAGAGAGAGAAGAUGGUUGGUUUUGACUAAAGGAAAAGAAAAGAGAUUUUUUUUUUAUAUAUAUAUAAGAGCCUUGGGUCCCGUGCAUAAGAAAGAGAAAUCAAAAAGAAAAAGAAAGAGAGGAAAGAAAAGAGAAAAGGAAGAGGAAAACAAAAAAAACCCUAGCCGUCGUCGCCGCUCGCCGUCGCCGCCGCCGGACUUUAGCCAACGCGUAAGGGAGCCCAGCCGCAGUCACGAGCCGAGCCUCCUCGUCCAUCCGGCGCCGCCGCAUCGAGUUGGGAAGUUCGAAGCCGCGCUCGCCAGCCGUCGCCUUCACGGAUCGUCGCCGCGUCUGCCAGCCGAAGCCGCGUCCGCUUCGCCGACGUUCACACGCCCAGCCGCGUCGCGCCGCUUCGAUCCGACGUAGCGCAGCCGAAGCGUCCGUCUGCAGCCGUCGCCGAGCGAAGCCGUGGUGUAGACGGACCACCCGCAGCCGUCGCGCCACCCGAAUCCGGAAGUCAGCGCCUCGUUGCGCGAAGACCCGACCCGGCCGAAGCUUCUGCCCCGCGACCCGAAACCGACGCGUGCCUCCGACCCGAAGCCCGACCCGUGCCGCGUGCACCCGUGUAGCCGAGCAGCGCCUGCGUGCGAGCCGCACGUGCGCAGCCUCUGUACUGAGUCGAGCCGCGCCUGUCUGCACCACGAGCCGCGCCUGUCUGCGCCGCGAGCCGAGCCGAUCCCCAACCUUCAAGCCGAGUCGGUCCCUGUCCUUUUUCCAGUCGAGCCGCCAAGCCUAGUUUGGCUUCUUCCAUCCAAUUUUUGGGGCGUCUUGGACCAAGUAACUGCUGCAGCGUGGGAUUUCUUCAGUAGGGGCUCAAGCAUUUCCAACCUCUUUCUAGGUUAGGACCUCGUUGCUUGGAAAGCACACUUGUCUUGCGAUUAGGACUCGCCAAGUAAAUCUCCAGGUAGAGGACGAGGUAAGGGCAAAGGCAAGCUGGCGAGCGACCAGAAGUGACCGUGGCGAGCCAUAGGGAUUUCUGCUUCCGCUUACUCUUGUUUUGACGUUAGUACCUGAGUUUUAGUCUUCUUCACUAUUUGCUAUUUUCUUUUUAAAAUGUAGAUAGGGCCCGAGUAGGACUUUAGAAUGAAAUUUUAUUUUCGCAUGUCA